ACUGCACACAGAUGGAACUAGGGCCAGUUCCUGGCUGAGGAACUCUAAGGUGUGGGGUGUGUGCCGUUGUGACCUGGCAGGAUUUUUUGCUGAUGCCAUGAGAGUCUUUGUGGCCUGGUGAAUGGAGUUUGAUAGUCGGUUCUUGCCACUGUU
rnacentral:snoRNA from 1 species